UCUGGGAGGACUGAGCGCAGCUCGUGGGGAAGAAGAGGAAAACAGGUGAGAGGUUUCCCACCUACACAAGAUGAAAAUACGAUCCUGUGGUUACCAGGUCCGUCCAUCCCUGAAUUCCUUCUCUAGCUAAUACGCCAUUGGAAAAUGCAUGUCUUACCUCAGCCACAAGAGUGUUAAAUCGAUCGACACAGGAAACACGUAAAGUGGCAGUUUAGGGAAGUUAACCUUUGACCUGCUGGACUGACUCAGGCGGCGACGCAAUCCCCCCGUGUGCCAUGGCCGCGGGUCACAGGUGUGCUCCACAUGUGAAUGCUAUCAAGUGAGGAUGGAAAAUGGAAAUAAAAAUGGAAAUAAUAGAGAUGAAGCCAAGGAGCCUAACAGCGGGCAGCUGUACCUUUUUGUACUGUGUGACAAAUGAACUGAAAAGUAACCAGAGCACUGACAGUAUAAUCUGUUGACCUUGGAAUCAUUUCUACAGCAAAUGAAUGCACUUAGUUGAGGAGGAGGAUGACAGGUGCAGAGACGACAUUAUGGAGGAAUAAACACCCAGAGUUGUGUCAGAUUCUUCUCUAUUACAUAACUAUCUGCUGACUGGAGCUCCUGCCGUUGGGUAAAAGCUUGUAACCAGGAGGACACAGGCACUGAAAACUGCCAAUGGUGUUUCUGCACUCGUGUUGACACGGCUUCCUGAGCAGACACUCGUCUACAUCUGGACAGGAAAUAAAAGCCUGUUGGACAGCUCUGUCUGGUUAUGCGAGACACUCCUUGAGAACGGGAAAGGAUUGGCCUGCCAAGAGAUGACACCAGCUGUGGACGAAGCCUUGCCCGGACUCGGGUGCCGUUGCUGAAG